rnacentral:misc_RNA from 1 species
GAUGAAGAACGCAGCGAAAUGCGAUAAGUAAUGCGAAUUGCAGAAUCCGUGAGUCAUCGAAUCUUUGAACGCACAUUGCGCCCGCUGGUAUUCCGGCGGGCAUGCCUGUUCGAGCGUCAUUUCAACCCUCAAGCCCCCGGGUUUGGUGUUGGGGAUCGGCUCUGCCUUCUGGCGGUGCCGCCCCCGAAAUACAUUGGCGGUCUCGCUGCAGCCUCCAUUGCGUAGUAGCUAACACCUCGCAACUGGAACGCGGCGCGGCCAUGCCGUAAAACCCCAACUUCUGAAUGUUGACCUCGGAUCAGGUAGGAAUACCCGCUGAACUUAAGCAUAUCAAUAAGCGGAGGA